rnacentral:rRNA from 1 species
GACGAACGCUGGCGGCGUGCUUAACACAUGCAAGUCGAACGGAAAGGCCUUUUCGGAGGUACUCGAGUGGCGAACGGGUGAGUAACACGCGGGUGAUUUGCCCUGCACUCUGGGAUAAGCCUGGGAAACUGGGUCUAAUACCGGAUAGGACCGCACUCUAGUGUGUGUGGUGGAAGGUUUUUUCGGUGUAGGAUGAGCCCGCGGCCUAUCAGCUUGUUGGUGGGGUAAUGGCCUACCAAGGCGGCGACGGGUAGCCGGACUGAGAGGGUGGACGGCCACAGUGGGACUGGGAUACGGCCCAGACUCCUACGGGAGGCAGCAGUGGGGAAGAUUGCACAAUGGGGGCAAGCCUGAUGCAGCGACGCCGCGGGGGGGAUGACGGCCUUCGGGUUGGAAACUCCUUUCGCCAGGGACGAAGCGUUUUGUGACGGUACCUGGAGAAGAAGCACCGGCUAACUACGUG